GACGAACGCUGGCGGCGUGCUUAACACAUGCAAGUCGAACGGUAAGGCCCUGCUUUUGUGGGGUGCUCGAGUGGCGAAAGGGUGAGUAACACGUGAGUAACAUGCCCUUGACUCUGGGAUAACUUCAGGAAACUGGGGCUAAUAUCGGAUAGGCGCUCCUGCUGCAUGGUGGGGGUUGGAAAGUUUCGGCGGUUGGGGAUGGACUCGCGGCUUAUCAGCUUGUUGGUGGGGUAGUGGCUUACCAAGGCUUUGACGGGUAGCCGGCCUGAGAGGGUGACCGGCCACAUUGGGACUGAGAUACGGCCCAGACUCCUACGGGAGGCAGCAGUGGGGAAUAUUGCACAAUGGGCGGAAGCCUGAUGCAGCAACGCCGCGUGCGGGAUGACGGCCUUCGGGUUGUAAACCGCUUUCGCCUGUGACGAAGCGUGAGUGACGGUAAUUGGUAAAGAAGCACCGGCUAACUACGUG
rnacentral:rRNA from 1 species